rnacentral:lncRNA from 1 species
CUUAAGAAGUCAAAACCACUCUCUAAGACUCCUCGAAGUCUAGCCGCUUCUGCAGAUACGUCUGAGACCUCUGUGAUAUCCUCAUACGGCUGGGGAUGGGCUAAAGCUAAUACUUAUCCCUGCAAGUCUAAUACUCUGCCUGUCAAUCUCAAAAUACAUCUCUCAAGCUGCUCAAUGCGUACCGACUGAUCAGUAAGCAUCUG